rnacentral:piRNA from 1 species
UUAUGCAAAACAUGGUGAGAGC